rnacentral:sRNA from 1 species
AGAGUUAAACAGUACGUGAAAUUGUUGAAAGGGAAACGAUUGAGGCCAGUCGUGCCGGCGAGAAAUCAAUUAGUUUUAGCGGUUCCAUGUGGGCAGCUAAUGCUGGUGCACUUUUUCGUUGGCUGGUUAGCAUCAGUUUUGUUUGUUGUAAAAUGGUGGUUGGAAUGUGACUCUUUCGGGAGUGUUAUAGCCAAUCGCAGAUGCAACGAAUGGGGCUGAGGAUUGCGGCAAAUGCCUUUUGGGUACUUGCCUGUUCUCUGAAAGGCUUACGAGUGAAUGACAGCGUGCUGAUGUUUGCUUUUGAGUCCUCAACGGGGUAGAGCAGGUUAAAUUUGCCAAGGAUGCUGACAUAAUGGUCUUAAACGACC